rnacentral:rRNA from 1 species
CCUACGGGAGGCAGCAGUGAGGAAUAUUGGUCAAUGGACGAGAGUCUGAACCAGCCAAGUAGCGUGAAGGAUGACUGCCCUAUGGGUUGUAAACUUCUUUUAUAAAGGAAUAAAACGAGGCACGUGUGCCUUUUUGCAUGUACUUUAUGAAUAAGGAUCGGCUAACUCCGUGCCAGCAGCCGCGGUAAUACGGAGGAUCCGAGCGUUAUCCGGAUUUAUUGGGUUUAAAGGGAGCGUAGAUGGGUUGUUAAGUCAGUUGUGAAAGUUUGCGGCUCAACCGUAAAAUUGCAAUUGAUACUGGAAGUCUUGAGUACAGUUGAGGUAGGCGGAAUUCGUGGUGUAGCGGUGAAAUGCUUAGAUAUCACGAAGAACCCCGAUUGCGAAGGCAGCUUACUAAGCUGUGACUGACAUUGAUGCUCGAAAGUGUGGGUAUCAAACAGGAUUAGAUACCCCUGUAGUC